rnacentral:rRNA from 1 species
UACACCACCCGCCCGUCAAGUCAUGGGAGCGGGGAGUACCCGAAGUCCGCUUAGCCAACUGGCAAAGAGGCGGCGGCCGACGGUAAGCUCCGUGACUGGGACUAAGUCGUAACAAGGUNACCC